rnacentral:rRNA from 1 species
UAUUAAAGGCAACGCCUGCCCAGUGAACAAUUAAACGGCCGCGGUACCCUAACCGUGCAAAGGUAGCAUAAUCAUUUGUCUACUAAUUAUAGACCUGUAUGAAAGGCAAAAUGAGGGCCCAACUGUCUCUUAUAAUAAAUCAAUUAAACUGAUCUACUAGUAAAAAAGCUAGAAUACCAACAUAAGACCAGAAGACCCUGUGAAGCUUAAACUAAACUAUUAAAUCAAAUAAUAGCUACUUUCGGUUGGGGCGACCUUGGAAAAAAAAAGAACUUCCAACCACAUCAUUAAGAAUUAAAUAGGCUAACAAGCCAACUAACGACCCAGCACAGCUGAUAAAUGAAACAAGUUACUCCAGGGAUAACAGCGCAAUCUUCUUCAAGAGCCCAUAUCAAAAAGAAGGUUUACGACCUCGAUGUUGGAUCAGGACAUCCUAAUGGUGCAGCCGCUAUUAAGGGUUCGUUUGUUCAACGAUU